rnacentral:rRNA from 1 species
UUCCAGACUCCUACGGGAGGCAGCAGUGGGGAAUAUUGGGCAAUGGGCGAAAGCCUGACCCAGCAACGCCGCGUGAAGGAAGAAGGCUUUCGGGUUGUAAACUUCUUUUGACAGGGAAGAGCAGAAGACGGUACCUGUCGAAUAAGCCACGGCUAACUACGUGCCAGCAGCCGCGGUAAUACGUAGGGGGCGAGCGUUAUCCGGAUUCAUUGGGCGUAAAGCGCGCGUAGGCGGCCCGCUAAGCGGGACCUCUAACCUGGGGGCUCAACCUCCAGCCGGGUCCCGAACUGGCGAGCUCGAGUGCGGUAGGGGCAGGCGGAAUUCCCGGUGUAGCGGUGGAAUGCGCAGAUAUCGGGAAGAACACCGAUGGCGAAGGCAGCCUGCUGGGCCGACACUGACGCUGAGGCGCGAAAGCUAGGGGAGCGAACAGGAUUAGAUACCCCGGUAAG